AUUGAACGCUGGCGGCAGGCCUAACACAUGCAAGUCGAGCGGAUGAAGGGAGCUUGCUCCUGGAUUCAGCGGCGGACGGGUGAGUAAUGCCUAGGAAUCUGCCUGGUAGUGGGGGCUAACGUCCGGAAACGGGCGCUAAUACCGCAUACGUUCUGAGGGAGAAAGUGGGGGAUCUUCGGACCUCACGCUAUCAGAUGAGCCUAGGUCGGAUUAGCUAGUUGGUGGGGUAAAGGCCUACCAAGGCGACGAUCCGUAACUGGUCUGAGAGGAUGAUCAGUCACACUGGAACUGAGACACGGUCCAGACUCCUACGGGAGGCAGCAGUGGGGAAUAUUGGACAAUGGGCGAAAGCCUGAUCCAGCCAUGCCGCGUGUGUGAAGAAGGUCUUCGGAUUGUAAAGCACUUUAAGUUGGGAGGAAGGGCAGUAAGUUAAUACCUUGCUGUUUUGACGUUACCAACAGAAUAAGCACCGGCUAACUUCGUG
rnacentral:rRNA from 1 species